GGACUGAGACAUGCUACCAUACAGAAUUUCAGUUAUCAGUGGGCAGUUGGGGGAAUUCUUCCAACAGCCUCAGAAUGUCCGCUUUUCCCCAUUGGGCUUAAGAGGGAAGUUGAGAGAGGGCUUCCGAGUACAGUCCUAUGAGCAAAAACUCAGACAUCUUUGAGCGAUAGAAGAGACAACUGGGCCGGGGGCCAGUUCAGUGCGGACCUACAUUUCAACCACCAUGAUGAAGGAGAGUUGUGUGUGGUGCCCUGUGGAUGGUGCAGGUGAGACGUCCAAAGACAGCAUCGCUCACACUGCUCAGGACGGAUGAGGUACUGAAGGAGGCCAGAUUGGAGGAGCCAGCCUGGGCAGGGCUGUGGCUGUUUCAGGGCAAGAUGGAGAAACUGAGGUUCACAAGGUUAAGCAUUUGAAUAAAAGUCACAUGGCUGGAGGCAGCAAAACUGGGAUAAGGACUUUGGUCUUCUGACUCCCAAUCACCUGUAACACGGAUCUCCUCACCUGUACCAGCCACUUCUCAUAGAAGAGCCUUCUCUCUCCUCUAUGGCUCCCUUGUGGCCUGUGGUCAAAGAUGACUGAGAAGAUACCCCAGGCCAUCUCGGUAGUAUGCUGCAGUACCAUCAGGAUACAGGAAAGAGGCAGAAACUCAGAGACCAUUAGGAGAGGGCCAACAGAAACAAACCAGGAAAGAUUGGCUGACAUAGAAAGAGGUGAGGGGUACUGGAGAAAUGGGAGAAGAAAGCAGCAUAAGACUGGUCUGGUAAGAAAGAAUGGAGCUUUGUAAUAAUUUUGACACCCUUCAACAUAAAAAUGGACACACCUAGUGUGGACCAAAACUAGCUGUCAUGGUAAGGGAGGUGUUGAUACACACAACGCGACUUGGACCACUGAUGGGCAAGGGAGUUAUAAAUCCCAUCUGUGAUUUGAUUAGGGCUGGCGAUCCACAGUGUUUGACUGCCUGACAUCAUCCUUGAAUUCCUUAAAUUCCAAUCAGACUUCUGAUUGGAUUCCUCCUCACUAACCCCUGGGCCACUGGA
rnacentral:lncRNA from 1 species